GACGAACGCUGGCGGCGUGCUUAACACAUGCAAGUCGAACGAUGAAGCUAGAGCUUGCUCUGGUGAAUUAGUGGCGAACGGGUGAGUAACACGUGAGUAACCUGCCCCGAACUCUGGGAUAACUGCUGGAAACGGUAGCUAAUACUGGAUACGACCUACGAAGGCAUCUUCUGCAGGUGGAAAGAAUUUCGGUUCGGGAGGGACUCGAGGCCUAUCAGCUUGUUGGUGAGGUAAUGGCUCACCAAGGCGACGACGGGUAGCCGGCCUGGGAGGGUGAACGGCCACACUGGGACUGAGACACGGCCCAGACUCCUACGGGAGGCAGCAGGGGGAAAUAUUGCACAAUGGGCGCAAGCCUGAUGCAGCAACGCCGGGUGAGGGAUGACGGCCUUCGGGUUGUAAACCUCUUUUAGUAGGGAAGAAGCGAAAGUGACGGUACCUGCAGAAAAAGCACCGGCUAACUACGUGCCAGCCGCCGCCGUAA
rnacentral:rRNA from 1 species